UCCCUUCUAUUGUUGGUCUGAGUUCU
rnacentral:piRNA from 1 species